AGGGAAGGUCACCAGACUCCGGUGACCUUCCUGGGUCGGGGGGGAAGAGUGGGUCCUUCGUGGGUCCGAGUCUGGCCUCGUCACAGGGAACCAGGCAGUGUCCUCUGGUCUUCGGGGCGGGGGCUCUUGGCCUGGGCCCUUCUCCAGGAUGGCGGCUUGGUGAAGUUCAGCCCUGUCUACAUGAAGUCAGGGGUGUUUUCUCCUGUUGUACCUGGCAUGCCGACCCCCACCCCGGCCACCUCCCGCUGCCUCCUGCUGCCCGACACCCUUCACGGGCUGUGGGCAGGAGAGCCUGGCCUUGCUCUCCUCUGCUCACCACGAGCCCCUGGGUUAUGGGAGCUGCCUGUCUUGUCGGGGAGACAGAACCUCACCCAACAGGCCCGGGGCAUGCAGGUUCCCAGGGCGAUGGGUGUGCAGUGUUGAAGUCAGACUUGCGCGCCCACCGCAGGGAAGCAGGAAACAGGCGUUGAGGCUGCCUGAUCUCUUAGAAACGUUGACAAAGCAAUAGGAAGCUGCUUAAAGAAACUGGCUCAAGCCCACAGUGGAGUCCAAGGCAGCCGUGAAGACCGACAGGGUGGUGAGAAGGUUCUGUGGUGCGGCUGCGCAACGCUGGCGGAGGUACUAGAACCCGUUGGAUGGUAUGCUUUACCCGGGUGAAUCGUUCAGUAUGUGAUUUAUGUCUCCAUAAAGCUGUUACCCCAAAAAAAGGAAGACAAAGACAGAAGCCUCGCCUUAUAAACAGCGUGUACCACUAAGCAGGUAUGGAAUGGUGGACGUGGUACGCUACCAUUUUUACAAAAAAGGGAAAAAAAGAAUAUACAAGUGUAUUUUCCUGAGUAUGGAAGGUCUCUGGAAGGGUUCUGCAGAAGUCGGUAACUCCGGCUGUCUCCAGGGUGGGAGCUGGAGUACCCAGUGAAGGGGCAGGAAACAUAUUUUCAUCUUGCACCCUUUAUACCUUUUGAAUUUUGAAUCCCAUGGGUGAUUUACACAGUCACAGAAACAGUACUUUUAAAUUAGCUUUUUAAAAAAUCAGCGGGCUCUCUGGGGCGCUGGCACUGUUCUGUACUUAGAUCUAGUCGGGUGGAAAUUUAUCCUGCUGCGCAUGAAAGAGUCACAUGCUUUUCUACACGCGUUUUUAAAUGUGCACUGGACGCUUGGCUGCCUGGCCGUCACCUGGAUCUUGCUGUGCACUUUUGAUGUGCCCGGCAGACCCCAGGACCCCACCCAUCUGACAGCCAUAAUGCAACACCUACUGCAUUUGAGACAAAGACCCACCUCCAUAGGACCUUGCACGUCUGCCCCUGGCUGCCCUUCCAAACUUUGCUGACCCACCCACGCCCUCCCUCUGCACCCCACCAUGAUGGCCGCCUCUCAGCGGCUGGGACACUCCCAGGGCCUUUGCACGUGCUGCUUCCUCGUGGAGCAGCUCACCUGCUGACUUCUCUGGACUCCUCACCCUCUGAGGGCAGAGCCCCUCCCUCUCUGGGCACUGGGAUCCUGGGACCUCUCUCCGGUCCCAGGAGGUUUAUUGGAAUGUUCUGAGUUGCCUUUUGGCUUUUCCCUCGCUCACCUCUGAGAACAUGUGGGCUGCUGGGGACUCCCAGAGACACUCAGAUGGAAGCCAGAGAAGGGGGACGAGCUGCCCUGAGUCCUCCCGGACGUGAGCGUGCCGUGGGCCGUGAAGAGUCCCGGCCCGAAGCUCUCCAGCUAUGAGAGUUUGAGCAACCUCCACCCCUGCCGAAGCCUCGGUUUUCCCACCUGUGAGGUGGUUUCCUGGCUACUCCUCCCUUGAUUGCCAACUGUUCACAUCUGCCCUUCGGAACUCAGGGAAGGUCAUGGAGGCUGGAGUCUUGCCUACAAGAAACGGGGCCAAAAGGGCCUGCAUGCCCGGGAUUCCCUCAGGGCCCCACUCGGUUUCAGGACAAGCCGGGGGCCUCCCCGCCCCUGAGCUCCCGUGGGGCGGGCUGGGGCCUCGGCCGUGACCCCGUGCAGCUCAGUGGGACAUGGAACACCGCGUCACGGUGUCCUGGCAUCUCUGCCCAUUUCCGGAGCUCCGCAACAAUGGAAGCCACGGCAAUGAGAAGCCCGCAACGAAGAGUAGCCUCCGCUCGCCUGUCCGUGCCUGCUUCUUUCUUUGGCUCCUUCCAAAGGGAAAUCUGCACCUCUCGUCAAAAAUGAGGCGCUGGGGACCACACUGGAGACCUGGCCCGUGACAGCGUGUUUCUGCCAAUGUCCUGACAGAGAGCACCGGGAGGCCCGCAGGCCAGGGCGCAGCGGGGAAUCAUUAAUUCUGCCAAAAGGAACUAAACGUCUUGAUCUCAAUGAUCUGGACCAGUUUAGUCCAGCUCUGUACACAUUUUUCAGGACUCUGCAGGCGGCACAAAUUCCAUUCAAAUAAAUCUCCCUGGGGGCGGGUGUAAGUGAGUUCAACCCUUUUGGAAACGGUAAGGCAGCUUUUGCUAGAACCCAUGACUCACUAAUUCGCUUCUGGGUGUGCACCCAGCACACACUUCCAAGGUGUGUGCAAGGCCCAGGGCAAGUCUGAGAAUGUUCCAGUCACCACAGCCCAGGCUGGGAACUGCCUGGGACUCCGUGAACCAUCAAGAGAGAGAUUGUGGUGAGGUCACAUGUUGGGUAAUAAACUGUGAUGAGGAUGAUGGGCCAGCCAUGCCCGACCUCGGCCACGUGGAGAACCCCAUGUGACCCCAUCCCAGAAAGUCCGAACUGGGGACACUUCGUGGAGAUGCAUGGCAAGCAGCUCUUUGUACCAGUGUCCCUGGGGUGCUGUCACAACUUAACACAACCCAGGGGCUUAAACAACAGGAAUUUAUCCCCUCACAGUGCAGAGCCCUGAAGUUUACAAUCAAGGUGUGGGCAGGGCUGUGAUCCCUCCUGGGACGAUGGAAGAGGGUCCUUCCUGCCUCUUCAUCGAGGCUUCUGUCCUCACAUGGCCUCUCCGUGUGUCUCUGAGUCUGUGUGCGUUUUCCCUUCUCUUACAAGGACACUCUCAGGGAUUUAGGGCCCAUCCUAAUCCAGGAUGAGCUCAUCUUGAGAUCCUUGCCUUAAUUACAUCUGCAAUGUCCCUAUUUCCAAGUAGGGUCCCAUCCUGAGGCUCUGGGUGGACAUGAAUUGGGGGUGUGUGUGUCACCAUCUAACCCACUAGAGAUUCCGUGGGACUCUGCCCACGUAGGACUCUCCCUGUCUCCUGACGUGAAGAUCUGCAAUCUUGGUCCGUGUAGAAGUCCCUGGUGUCUGGUAACGUGUCCACUGGUGGGACAGCGGGGCCCACCCACAGACUCGACCCAGAUGGUAGGGUGCGUGGGUGAUGGGGCAGGGGUGAAGCUGGGAUCUCGGGAAACUUGACAACCACCCCAUCUACACCAGAGUCUUUACACUGUGGAGGAAAUGACCCUCCCUGCAAAGCACAGUUAACGGCGAGCCAGGGGUGAAGCAGACAGACCAGUGGGGCCUCCCACCUCUGCUCCCCGCCCUCACCCUGCAGGGUAACUGCCCCGGACAGUGAGGGCGAGGAGGCUGGGAGCCUGGAGCUGGGCCACCACGGCCUCCUGGCUCAGACGGCAGCCUCUCAGCCUCCACGUGUCCCCAACACAAGGGCCAACUCCCAGGGCCGCUGUGAGGAUCGGCUGAGUCAGGUCAACGUGGCUGACAGGUGUUGAUGCCUGGCGACACCUGCUGGGUUUUGCGGUGCUGACCCUGCACCUCAUGAUAUUCCAGCAGCUUCCAUUUCUGGAUUGGCAUUGCUUACGUUAAUAAGCAUGAAUUCAGGACCACAGACACAGACAGAAACAGCCAGAGGCUGUCGGACCUCACAGCUGAGAGCACCUUUCCAUGCUCUGCUCUUAGGACCAGGGCAUCCAUCGUAACGUGCUGCUUCCUGCCACACUCAGUAGACCCCCUGGUAAACAAGGCCAACCUGCUGCCCAGCCUGGGAGCUCCCAGCAGGGGCUGGAAGAGGGGACUCAGCUGGGGGCUUCACUCGGCCCCAGACCUCCCUCACCUGUUACCACUAGGGUCGGUCACAUGCCACAUGCUCAGCCAGGCCUUUCCAUACUGACUUUUUUUUUUUUUUGGCUGCACCUCGUGGCAUGUGGGAUCUUAGUUCCCCGACCAGGGAUUGAACCGGCGCCCCCUACAUCCAGACUGAGUUCUUUUUUUUUUAAAUAUAUGUAUUUAUUUAUUUGGCUGCAUUGGGUCUUCGUUGCUGUGCGCAGGCUUUCUCUAGUUGUGGCGAGCGGGGGCUACUCUUUGUUGCGGUGUGCGGGCUUCUCAUUGUGGUGGCUCCUCUUGUUGUGGAACACGGGUUCUAGGCGCGUGGGCUCAGUCGUUGUGGCUCGCGGGCCCUAGAAUGCAGGCUCAAUAGUUGUGGCGCACGGGCAUACUUGCUUCGCGGCAUGUGGGAUCUUCCCAGGCCAGGGCUCGAACCCGUGUCCCCUGCAUUGGCAGGCGGACUCUUAACCACUGCGCCACCAGGGAAGCCCCACCCUCACCUUUUUACCCCAGAGCCCAGCGCUCUUGUCCAGGUAUGUUCCUAGUUUUGUCUCUGGAAUAAGCACCUGAAUGCAGAGUUCCACAAAAGGAGGACUCUCUCUGCUGUUUCCUAAUUUACAACCCAGUGCUGGAACUGUGCCCUCGGAUGCUGAACCGAGUGGCCCAGCUCUCUCCAGCCAGAGCUCCGUGGUGACAGGAAGUCAAACCCCGGUCUGAGGCUGGGGAUUGGCCCCUGAGGAGGAGGAGCCCAUCAGGUCACGCCCACCACUCCGUCCUGGUCUGUCCUGGUUUGUCGGGCCCAGGUGCCCCUCAUCUGGGGAGAAUCCCCACCUCCUUCAGGCAGCUUCCUCUCGAAGGGCUCAGGCGGUCAGGGAACUCUGAGCCUUUGCCCUGGCCAGGCCAGGCGGAGCUGCGGGCUCCGGCUCGGAGAGUAAGACCCUCCGGGAACCCUCCAGGCAGCCGAACCGCAGCGGGCAUCGCCGGCGUCCCCGCUGCUUCGAGGACCUGGCGCUAGAGGAGAGAGUCGGCCCCUCCAGCUCCAGCAGGAGGUUAGUGAGAGCGGGUGUGGCCACCGCCUUCCCUCCACGGCCACCGGGCUCCCAGCCUGUGGCUCUGCUUGCCCGUUCAGCUCCCCCUCGGCUGCCGCUGCACCUGGGUUGGAGGGCGUCACGCAGGGACGGGCACCCUUGCUCUCCUGUGGGGUGCUGCUCUCCGGAGGGGCCUGCCCUCGGCGCCCCCAAGCUCUGAGCGGUCGUCACGGCUGCGUGGACGCGGCUGCCUCCGUGGCACCAAAAGGGUGAGGCUGUGUCUCCCAGAGGCAGCAGCGCCGUGAGUCACCACGCGGUGGAGGCACGUGGGCACCGGGCCGUGGCCCCGGGGAGAGGAGCGCAGCAGCGCUGCUCCCGUGGGGACGUGAGAGGCUGGAGCAGCUCUCAGCAUCAGCCUGGAGGCCUGUGGGGGACACAGGCCCUGAGACCACGCACCCACCAGGCCAGCAGCGGGGGUGGGCGGUGCCGCCUCGGUGUCCUGGGGCUCAGAUGACCAGGAGCCGGGGGCUCAGACAACAGAAGUCUAUUCCCUCCAGGCCUGGAGGCCAGGAGUCUGAAAUCAAGGGGUCGCAGGGCUGGGCGCCCUCCAGAGGCUCCGAGGAAGCAUCCCUCCUGCCUCUUCCAGCCCCUGGGGGCUCCAGGCAUCCCUGGCUUGUGGCCUCAUCCCUCCAAUCUCUGCUCCGUCUUCACGCGGCCUCCCCUCUGUGUGCACCUCAAAUAUAAGGACGCUACUCCUUGGAUAUAGGGCCACCCUAAUCUCAGUUCACACCCCAUCUAAACUUAGCGAAUUAUAUCUGCAAAGACCCUAUUUCCAAAUCCGGUCACAUCCGUGUUUCCAGGUGGAGGUGAAUUUUGGGGGGGGGGUCGCUGUUCCACCCACAGUGGGGUGGGUGUGUGUUAGCAGCUCCUGGCAUGUCUGGCGUAGGUGGUCCCGACCGCUCCCUGGGGAGCCCCGGGUCAGUCCGAGCCCUGCAGGGCCCUGGUGGAAUCCAGCCCCCCACCGGCACCCCAGCCUUUUCGCUUCCGUGUGGGUGGGUUUUUCCAACGGGGACAGUUCUCCCGUCUGGCAGGAGGACUAUGUGGGCGCCUGCAUUCGGAGGAGCCUGCAGACGGCUGUCACCUCACUGGUGUCAGGCGCGUUUGCGGGUGUCCGUGAGUCUCCGGAGAGAGGGGGUGACCUCAGGACAUCUCUGUCAGGCUGGACACUGGCCGCCCUUUGUAUCUCCACUGUGGAGCCAUAUCUCUG